rnacentral:lncRNA from 10 species
AGUAGCUCCCGAGCACGCCGGAGGCCUGGCCUGUGGAUGAGAUUGUUCCUUAUUUCCCCAGCUUCAGCACCACAGAAGAGACCAGAGUCUACCUUGCCAGCUCCUCUAGCACCGACCACGUGCCAAUUCAUGUCCUGAAUGCUCACUUCACUUCUUCACCUUGCUUCACUUCACUUACUGCACGGGAACAGAAAAGCCUAGAGAGGAUGGAUUACCUGUGCGGUUGCCUCCCUCUGCAGAGUGGGCGUGUCUCAGGAGCUUCUCUUCUUCUCCAGCCCAGUGCGGCCUCGUGUCAUCCAUAGGACCCACCGGCAGAGGGCAGGGCCUGCGAGUGGGGCCAGCCUCCUGGUGACUCUCGCCUCCUCUUUUCCAGCGGACGCUACCAGAGGACGAAGGUCUGACUCUGGCCAACGGCCCAGAAUUUCUGGCCCAGUUUUGCCUGAGGAAGCCAACUGUGCAGGAGGUCAGGAUCCCGGUAGGGUGAGAGUGGGAAAGUUAACAUUCCCAAGAGACUCCAAGCAACAGGAUUUCCUGACCUGGGACUAUUACCUUUCUCACAUUACAUGGCCAGAUUUACUUCCUGCUAUUAUUAAAAGUACGAAAAAGAUGAAGAUAUGUGUUUAAUGGAAACAAGGGCAAGAGUUUGCCUGACUGGACUUUGAGGAGGCUGUAGGAUCAUGGCGCUAACGGCAUUUGGAGGGCUGGGAAGGGACUCUAGCCCUGGCUUUACCUGCCUUUGUCAUCAGCUGGAGCAAGCAACUCCGCAACCUCGGAGCCUCAGUUUCCUUUUCUGUAAAAGGCGGGGAGGGUGGGUGGUAAGUGCAAUGCUGAAUCAGAACUCAUAGAGCUGCUGGGUGGACAUGUGAAGUAAAAGAGGAGACAGCUUUUGCUCCUGAAGGAUGCCAUUUGCGUUUUCCUCAUCAGUUUGAUCUCCUCCAAUCAUCCAGCACCUCCAUCUGACCUUCUCAGCUGAGAGGUCCUCAGUGUUUCUGUGGCCUCCAGGAGAAAGGUCCCCCUCCCCGGCUGAGGCCAGGCUGAUGGCAGGCUGCACGGCCAGCCUUCCACAGUCACCUGAAGGAUACAGAAAAGGAAGAGCUGGAGGCUUCUAGCAAGCUGCCGAACUGUGUCCUCCAGCUGCGCCCAGCCCCCUGGAGCUUCUGCCUCCCCAGCAGAGAGGGACCUUCCCAGAGAAGAUGUCUUGCGCCUCACCUGAUCUUGUUCUGAGAGUAGGAGACUGGAAGAGAAGCGUUCAACUCCCCAAACACAGCUGGGUUUGUUUCGUUUAAUCUCCCAGCCUGUUUUUCUGCUGUCCUCCUGAAGAAUGUUUAAUCUCACAGUUAAAACCACCAAAAGCGACUUUUUUCCCCCUCAACUGCUCAGUAACACAUGACCGUGCAAAUUCGUUUGGCCCCAGCGCCACAAGUCAUAAAAGGCAUCUAGUGGGCGGCAUGAGUCAAUCAGGCCUUUGGACGGUGACGUAACCACAGCUUGUCAGUUUCCCCAUCCAGGCAGCCCCAAUCCCCCAGUGCAGACAUCUGGAGCCAGGGAUUGACAAGUGGAUUCCAGGAUUGGGCCCUGCCUCCCGCCCUGUUCAGUUCCAGCCCAGCCACGGCCGCCGCCAACGAGGACACGCACUGUCUUUCUGCACAUUCCCACGUACACACACCCCCGCAGCCCCCUCUCCACUCAUUCCUGCAUUUCCGGCAAUGUGAAUUCUGACAGCUCGGGCAGUGUCAGCCUCUCCGGUGCAUUCCUCACCACACCACCUCACUGCUCCCGAGCCUGCUGACAGCACUCCCCGCCAUACCUACCAAGCCGAAGGUGCAAGGAACCUCUUGAUCCCCACUGUGUCUUUGUCCCAGGGCCACAGCAAAAUAGCACCCCCCUCCCCCACACACCCUCUAGCCUAAUUUAUUAGACUUUUAAACACAUUUAUUUACUGUGAUAUCUACACCACACCAAACAUCUGGAGGGAAACCGGGAGACAAUCCACCAGGAAUUUAAAUGUUUGUUCUGCAAUGUAACUUUGAAAACCGAACCAGGAAAACUUGACAUCUUUAGCCAAUUGCUUGGUGGUGAGUAGACUUAAGCCAAUAUAUAAUCUGUAAAGGUUGUCCCUCUUUGCCCUCUCUCUAUCCAUGAAACGCAUUCACCAAACAGCCCAGAAAUAUUUCUUUCUUCUCCUCUCAGAGGUAUGUGAAACCAACCUGAAUCAACAACAUAGUUGUUCAACCAGCCUCACUGAGAACGAAGGCAUUUCAGAGCUGGAAAGACGCUAGGGUCUGGGGUCUUAUCUUCCACAUUUAUCUGCCUUAUUAUAAUCCAUCCAGUCAUCCUCUUUGCCCUUGCCAGAUCUCAUCGCUUACACUACCACUACCGAAGGAGCAUAACGUCUGUGACUUUUCUUUUUUUUUUUUUUUUUUUUUGAGAUGGAGUCUUGCUCGGUAACCGGGCUGAAGUGCAGUGGCAGGAUCUUGGCUUACUGCAACCUCUGCUUCCUGGGUUCAAGUGAUUCUCCUGCCUCAGCCUUCUGAGUAGCUGGGACUCCAGGCAUGCGCCACCACGCCCAGUUAAUUUUUGUAUUUUUAGUAGAGAUGGGGUUUCACUAUGUUGGCCAGGUUGGUCUCGAACUCCUGACCUCGUGAUCCAUCUGCCUCGGCCUCCCAAAGUGCUGGGAUGACAGGUGUGAGCCACCGCACCCGGCCACGUCUGUGACUUUUCUAAAGCUUUAAGAUGAUGUCACCCAUAGGCAGAAAGGCCCACUCAUUUCGUGCAUCUGCAGUCACUCUUCUGACGAGGUGCGGCUCUCUUUUGUUCUAUCAAAGAGAAAGCCAGUCUAAAUUAAUGGGAAACUAGAGAAUUAGGUCAUUUUUCAAGAUGAAAUUGCUGGUAGCUUAAGGAAUCAGCUACUUGAAUCCCAUGCUAAAAAAGUGUAACUCCUGAGGAGUGAGCUCUUCUUUCUUCCUUCCAUAAUGUCAGGCACUAAGGGAGGUUCAGAAACACAGAGCAGCAUCUACUCCUUUCUCAACGAGCGUGGGGUCCAGUGCAGUUGGCCCUCAUUUAACAAAUAAUUACACCCAUGCGUGAAAGGUCCAGUGGGGAAACAGUGCGGGGAGCCUCAGGCAGAGCUGAUUCAGGCCUGGGGAGGCACGGGAGCCACAUGUUCAGGGUCCACAGGCCCAGCGGAGUGAUACGGAAGUUUCCAAGAUGGUAAGCCUCUCUCCUGGCCCAUGCUCACCAACGGGACCCCAUUCCUAACCAGGCUUUCCCUCUCUCUCUUUUAAGUGUUCCAGGAAUGUUCCUACCCCUGCGUCUUUGCUGAAGCCCCUCUUGCCUGGGAUGCCCUCUGUCCUCUCUUUCUGCCCACACACAUCCUGCCAGUCCUUCAGACAGGGCCAGCCUCACGGGCAUAGGACCUGAGCAGUUUCACAGGGCCCUAUGCACAGAAGGAUCCCAAGCUCGGUUGAUUGCUCCGAUCUUGCCAUCUUGAAACUCUUUGAUAAUUUUAUCUUUUAUCUUGUGUUUUGGGAGUGAAAUCCAAUGGGAUAUUGGGGCCUGCAAAGGAGAAGAGGAGAUCCGCACAAACCCGUUCCUGGCUGCUGCAUUCACCUCCAGCGUUUGUGAUGCCCCAGAGCACAGAACUCCAGGGAGCCCACGAUGCAGGAGAGUUCAGCGACAUUCACUGAGUACAAGAGAAGUGAGUUACUCCUGCAGCUGAGCACGGGGGGCGCUGGCAACUGCGAAAGGUCUCGCUUUCCAUUCCAACCAGAACUUGCUCCUAGCGCAGACAGAAGGCCGUGGCAUUCUGAGAAACACACAUGAUGAAGGAGCCCUGUCAUAUCCUCUCUUCCUUGCAUCGCUUCCCCGUGUGAGCAACCACUUGUGCUGGAAAUGAUGACAAGGAAGGACCGGGAAAGACAGGGCCACCCGCAGUUCCUUUUCCUUGACGUCUUUCCUUCCUCAUCAGCGAGCUGAGGUGGAGAGCGUUGGUAGAAUGUGUGCAUAAUAAGAAGUGAAAUAAAAACAGUCGAGUUAGUAUUCUACUGUUUCCACUGUUCUGGUGAGAACAAAACACAUAUGCUGUAUAUGCUUUGAAAUACAAAGUGUGUAAUUUUAGUGAUUCUGCAUAGGAGUUAAAUGUUUUUAUAUUUGCAUUUAAAACUGCCAUUGUAUACUAUAAAGAUAAAGAGUAAAAUGUAUUCUAAUAGUUUAACUUUACUAAUAAUUUAGUUUUUACUUUUAUUUACCUAGAGUAACAUUAAAUAGCAAACAAACAAAACAAACAUCACAAGUUGAGAGAGAAACCACAAAAGAAAGAAAAAAGCUUUAUAUGUUAGUACCUUGAGAGGCACUUUUUCCUGCUUUUUGAGUAGGGAUUCAUGUUUUCCCGUUGCACUGGGCCUCACAAAUAAUGUAGCCAGCCCUGCCUUCAAAGUGCAUUCAAGUGACUCCCCCUUCAUAAUCACUUAAGCCUGGAGCCACGGCCUUGCCCCUGAACACGUAGAACAGUCAUGGCCGUACCAACCGUGAGCCAUUCUUGCCUCUCUCUCUUUUGUCUUAUUCUCUUGUCAUCUGUCCACCUCGCAGGACUGUUGGGAGGCACCAAUGGACUUUGCAACUGGAGAUCUCCCAACUGGACCAUGUCACUGUUAUGUUUAAUUUGCACUGUGCACAGUAGGUACCCAGUCAACGUUUGUCGAAUUCCAUGGACUGGGCCUUAUACCUCCGAGGAUUUUUCACAGCAGUAGCAUGUGCACAUGCACAGAACGAGAACACAACCAAUGCUUGUUUGCUGGUGAAGACCUGGUCUCAGUAUUUUGCCCAGGAAACCCUUUCUUCAUGGACAGCAUGAGGCAAGCUAUGGCCCUUGCUGUGGUCUCAGUGGUUCAGCACGGAAGAUGAAGAUGACGGGCAGUCUCAGAAUAUUAGCUUUAGAAGGGACUUUGGAUCCUUUUGAUUUUGGUAGGUGAAAUACUUUUUAAAAAUAAAGAAAACGGACUUUGGACAAAUGCUCUCAUUUUGUAAAUGAAAAAGUAGAGACAGGAAGAGUAACUGAUUUGUCCAAAAUCAAACAAAGUAAAUUGUGUUGCAUCCUCUCCAUCCGUAACCACCUUCGCCUUCCCUAACUGCUCCAUGUGGCCUGGGAAAGUCCACUUCACCUCGUCUUAGAGGUGGGCUUCUGAUUCUAGCUAAGCCAACCCCCA